rnacentral:tRNA from 1 species
CCUUCGAUAGCUCAGUUGGUAGAGCGGAGGACUGUAGGCUGGUCAUUGGAGAGAAAUCCUUAGGUCGCUGGUUCAACUCCGGCUCGAAGGA